GACGAACGCUGGCGGCGUGCUUAACACAUGCAAGUCGAACGGAAAGGCCCUGCUUUUGUGGGGUGCUCGAGUGGCGAACGGGUGAGUAACACGUGAGUAACCUGCCCUUGACUUUGGGAUAACUUCAGGAAACUGGGGCUAAUACCGGAUAGGAGCUCCUGCUGCAUGGUGGGGGUUGGAAAGUUUCGGCGGUUGGGGAUGGACUCGCGGCUUAUCAGCUUGUUGGUGGGGUAGUGGCUUACCAAGGCUUUGACGGGUAGCCGGCCUGAGAGGGUGACCGGCCACAAUGGGACUGAGAUACGGCCCAGACUCCUACGGGAGGCAGCAGUGGGGAAUAUUGCACAAUGGGCGGAAGCCUGAUGCAGCAACGCCGCGUGCGGGAUGACGGCCUUCGGGUUGUAAACCGCAUUCGCCUGUGACGAAGCGUGAGUGACGGUAAUGGGUAAAGAAGCACCGGCUAACUACGUG
rnacentral:rRNA from 1 species